AGAGUUUGAUCAUUGGCUCAGGAUGAACGCUAGCGGCAGGCCUAACACAUGCAAGUCGAGGGGUAACAGGUGUAGCAAUACAUGCUGACGACCGGCGCACGGGUGAGUAACGCGUAUGCAACCUACCUUUAACAGGAGGAUAGCCCCGAGAAAUCGGGAUUAAUACUCCAUAAUAUUAUUGUACCGCAUGGUAUAAUAAUUAAAGUUUCGGCGGUUAAAGAUGGGCAUGCGUGACAUUAGUUAGUUGGUGAGGUAACGGCUCACCAAGACAGCGAUGUCUAGGGGUUCUGAGAGGAUUAUCCCCCACACUGGUACUGAGACACGGACCAGACUCCUACGGGAGGCAGCAGUGAGGAAUAUUGGUCAAUGGUCGAAAGACUGAACCAGCCAUGCCGCGUGCAGGAUGACGGCGCUAUGCGUUGUAAACUGCUUUUCUACAGGAAGAAACCUACCCUCGUGAGGGUAGCUGCCGGUACUGUAGGAAUAAGCAUCGGCUAACUCCGUGCCAGCAGCCGCGGUAAUACGGAGGAUGCAAGCGUUAUCCGGAUUUAUUGGGUUUAAAGGGUGCGUAGGCGGAACUUUAAGUCAGUGGUGAAAUCCUGCGGCUCAACCGUAGAACUGCCAUUGAUACUGAUGUUCUUGAAUGUAGUUGAGAUAGGGGGGGUGUAAAAAAUCCCGGUAAGCAGGAUCAUCCAAGGCAAUAACUCAUUGGCGAAAGGCGGAUUCUGCCUGGGAAUCUCUAACUGGACGGCUGAAGGCGCCGAAAAGCGUGGGGAGCAAAACGGGGAUUAGGAUACCCCUGGUAGUCCCACGCUGUAAACGAUGAUCACUCGUUUGUUUGCGAUAUAUUGUAAGCGACUGAGCGAAAAGCAUUAAGUGAUCCACCUGGGGAGUACGUUCGCAAGAAUGAAACUCAAAGGAAUUGACGGGGGCCCGCACAAGCGGAGGAACAUGUGGUUUAAUUCGAUGAUACGCGAGGAACCUUACCUGGGUUUAAAUGUAGGUUGCAUGGGGGGGAAACUCUCCUUUCCUUCGGGACCACUUACAAGGUGCUGCAUGGUUGUCGUCAGCUCGUACCGUGAGGUGUCGGGUUAAGUCCCAUAACGAGCGCAACCCCUAUCGUUAGUUGCUAGCAGGUAAUGCUGAGGACUCUAACGAGACUGCCGGUGUAAACCGAGAGGGAGGUGGGGAUGACGUCAAAUCAGCACGGCCCUUAUAUCCAGGGCUACACACGUGUUACAAUGGUCGGUACAAAGAGCAGCCACUUGGUGACAAGGCGCUAAUCUCAAAAGCCGAUCUCAGUUCGGAUCGAAGUCUGCAACUCGACUUCGUGAAGUUGGAUUCGCUAGUAAUCGCGCAUCAGCCACGGCGCGGUGAAUACGUUCCCGGGCCUCGUACACACCGCCCGUCAAGCCAUGGAAGCUGGGGGUACCUGAAGUCCGUAACCGCAAGGAGCGGCCUAAGGUAAAACUAGUGACUGGGGCUAAGUCGUAACAAGGUAGCCGUA
rnacentral:rRNA from 1 species